UGUGUCGGCGUGCUGAUCUCUCAGCUGGAACAGUUUAGGUGUAAGGAUUGCAGGGGCAAAAAACCGCAGAAAGAGGAAUCCACUGAUGGCCAGGUAUUUCACGUCCUGUGACGAUGACGGGAUUUGACACAAAUGUUAAUGAAUCUGUUUGAAGGCCACUCUCAUGACUGCAGGACACUGAUCCACUGAGCCCACGAUCAGUUCAAUGAUGCUGCUCAAGUAGCUGUGGAGCGUCUCCACACUGCUGUCUCUCACCUCCGCCUCAGACACCGAGCCCUUAAAUGAAAUGCGUCUGUCAAACAAAGACAAAGUGUGGAUGACCUCCCGGGUGUUGAGAUAAUCCAGAAAUGGCACCACCAAUCCUUGGCCAAGGUAGAUCUUCACAAGAGUCAUGGCCACAUCCUGACGACUCUCCACUGUUGUCACCUCCUCCAACAUGGUCAAAGCACUGACGUCCUCUACCUGGUGACAAAUCAGCAAAUCUGAAGUCACAUCCAGAGAUGGAUGUUACAAGACGGAACAAACACUGGCUGCUCAGAUAGGUGAAUUUACCAAAACACUUUACAUUGACUGUUGUAUUGACAAAUUGGUGUUUAUUUAAUUUACACCGUCUUCCAACUCCAGUUAUUUCUCUCUAUGGAUCACCUGUAACUGCAACAAUAAAAAGAAGAAGAGACCUACACACAGCUGGACACACUGUACAAUAAAAUAACACAGAACAGUCACGCUAUUUCAAUAACAAAAUAUAUUCCCCUUUGUACCACUAGAGGUAGCCAAAGUACCACAAGUAGCAGGCGAACCAAAGUUUGAGUACCAGUGCUUUAAAACACUGCCACCUGUUUAUUUACAUACAAGUCCUCCUUAAUGAAGCAGCUCUAAAACACAUGAAGACCAAACACACACACACACA